CGGCGGUAGUACUCCCCAAUGGAGAGGAAGCACCGCGCCGCCUGCCGAGUAGUCAGGAUCCGGCGCAUCUGAUGCAAUGUCUGCUGCCUGAGAUUGUCGGCCUGCAGUUGGAACAACACACAUGAAAAGAAAGGUUUAAGCUAGCUUUCUGACAAAAGGUUGGCCUGCCAUGGAGAAAGCAGGACAAGGCCCUGUAGCCUGUGGGACGACUGGACGAGGACCAGCUCCGUCGCUACUGUUACUGUGCAGUUCUGGCAGGGAAGGACUGCUGUACUUGAAAGUUUAUUAACCCAGCUUUUCCUCUUUGUAUUGAUUCUUGGGUUAAAAAUUGUUUACCGCGAUCAUCA